rnacentral:rRNA from 1 species
UAAGGUAGCGAAAUUCCUUGUCGGGCAAGUUCCGACCUGCACGAAUGGCAUAACGAUGGCCACACUGUCUCCUCCUGAGACUCAGUGAAGUUGAAGUGUUUGUGAUGAUGCAAUCUCCCCGCGGCUAGACGGAAAGACCCCAUGAACCUUUACUGUAGCUUUGCAUUGGACUUUGAACCGAUCUGUGUAGGAUAGGCGGGAGCCUGUGAAACCACAACGCCAGUUGUGGCGGAGGCGUCCUUGAAAUACCGCCCUGAUUUGUUUGAGGUUCUAACCUGGGACAGUCAUCCUGUCCGGGGACCGUGCAUGGUAGGCAGUUUGACUGGGGCGGUCUCCUCCUAAAGGGUAACGGAGGAGUGCGAAGGUACGCUAGGUACGGUCGGAAAUCGUGCUGAUAGUGCAAUGGCAAAAGCGUGCUUGACUGCGAGACCCACAAGUCGAGCAGAUACGAAAGUAGGUCAUAGUGAUCCGGUGGCUCUGUAUGGAAGGGCCAUCGCUCAACGGAUAAAAGGUACUCCGGGGAUAACAGGCUGAUACCGCCCAAGAGUUCAUAUCGACGGCGGUGUUUGGCACCUCGAUGUCGGCUCAUCUCAUCCUGGGGCUGUAGCCGGUCCCAAGGGUAUGGCUGUUCGCCAUUUAAAGAGGUACGUGAGCUGGGUUUAAAACGUCGUGAGACAGUUUUGUCCCUAUCUGCCGUGGGCGUUGGAAGAUUGACGGGGGCUGCUCCUAGUACGAGAGGACCGGAGUGGACUCACCUCUGGUGUACCGGUUGUCACGCCAGUGGCAUCGCCGGGUAGCUAUGUGGGGAAGAGAUAACCGCUGAAAGCAUCUAAGCGGGAAACUUGCCUGAAGAUAAGUCUUCCUGGAGGCUAGACCUCCCUAAAGAGUCGUUCGAGACCAGGACGUUGAUAGGAUGGGUGUGUAAGUGCUGUGAGGCACUCAGCUAACCAUUACUAAUUGCUCGUGAAGCUUGAUCCU